AUACUUACCUGGUAGGUGAGAUACCAUGAUUGUGAAGGUGGUUUUUCCAGAGAGCAAGGCUUAUCUAUUCCACUUCAGAUGUGCGGCCCCUGCAAUUUCCCCAAAUGUAGGAAAUUUGCAUAACUGUGGUAGUGGGGGACUGAGCUCAUGCUUUCCCCUG
rnacentral:snRNA from 1 species